rnacentral:rRNA from 1 species
UACGUAGGGGGCGAGCGUUAUCCGGAAUUACUGGGCGUAAAGCGCACGCAGGCGGUUCACCAAGUUUGGAGUGACAGUUGUCGGCUCAACCGACAAAGGACUUCAAAAACUGGUGAACUUGAGGACGAGAGAGGAACAUGGAACUCCAGGUGUAGUAGUGAAAUGCGUAGAUAUCUGGAAGAACACCAAUGGCAAAGGCAAUGUUCUGGCUCGUUUCUGACGCUCAGGUGCGAAAGCCAGGGGAGCGAACGGG